AAUAUCAUACUUCACAGGAUCAUUUCUAUAGUAUGACUGGCGAGUUCAUUCCCUUUAUGUAAUAUCAGUUACAAGAUCUUCAUUGACAAGGAGGA
rnacentral:snoRNA from 1 species